AUGACAGUCGAACGGAAAGGCCUCAGCUUGCUGGGGUACUCGAGUGGCGAACGGGUGAGUAACACGUGGGUGAUCUGCCCUGCACUUUGGGAUAAGCUUGGGAAACUGGGUCUAAUACCGAAUAUGACCACUUCUUGGAUGUUGUGGUGGAAAGCUUUUGCGGUGUGGGAUGAGCCUGCGGCCUAUCAGCUUGUUGGUGGGGUAAUGGCCUACCAAGGCGGCGACGGGUAUCCGGCCUGAGAGGGUGUACGGACACAUUGGGACUGAGAUACGGCCCAGACUCCUACGGGAGGCAGCAGUGGGGAAUAUUGCACAAUGGGCGCAAGCCUGAUGCAGCGACGCCGCGUGGGGGAUGAAGGCCUUCGGGUUGUAAACUCCUUUCGCUAUCGACGAAGCCACUUGUGGUGACGGUAGGUAGAUAAGAAGCACCGGCUAACUACGUGCCAGCAGCCGCGGUAAUACGUAGGGUGCAAGCGUUGUCCGGAAUUACUGGGCGUAAAGAGCUCGUAGGUGGUUUGUCGCGUCGUCUGUGAAAUCCCGGGGCUUAACUUCGGGCGUGCAGGCGAUACGGGCAUAACUUGAGUGCUGUAGGGGAGACUGGAAUUCCUGGUGUAGCGGUGAAAUGCGCAGAUAUCAGGAGGAACACCGAUGGCGAAGGCAGGUCUCUGGGCAGUAACUGACGCUGAGGAGCGAAAGCAUGGGUAGCGAACAGGAUUAGAUACCCUGGUAGUCCAUGCCGUAAACGGUGGGCGCUAGGUGUAGGAGGCUUCCACGUCUUCUGUGCCGUAGCUAACGCAUUAA
rnacentral:rRNA from 1 species